rnacentral:misc_RNA from 1 species
AAAGUCGUAACAAGGUUUCCGUAGGUGAACCUGCGGAAGGAUCAUUAUUGAAUUUUUGAAGAAGUUGUUUGCUGGCCUCUCGAGGGGGGCAUGUGCACGCUUCGUUCAAAUCUCCAACCCUUUAUACACCUGUGCACUUUUUGUAGGGUUGUGGCUGUAAAAGGCUGCACUCUAUGUUUAUCAUAUAAACCCUUUAGUAUGUGUAGAAUGUUCAUUGCGUAUAACGCAUCUUUAUACAACUUUCAGCAACGGAUCUCUUGGCUCUC